rnacentral:rRNA from 1 species
AGAGUUUGAUCCUGGCUCAGGAUGAACGCUAGCGGCAGGCCUAACACAUGCAAGUCGAGGGGCAGCGGGAAUGAAGCUUGCUUCAUUUGCCGGCGACCGGCGCACGGGUGCGUAACGCGUAUGUAACCUACCCUGAACUGGGGAAUAACACUGAGAAAUCGGUACUAAUACCCCAUAAUACACUGGAAGGCAUCUUCUGGUGUUGAAAGCUCCGGCGGUUCAAGAUGGACAUGCGUUGUAUUAGCUAGUUGGUGAGGUAACGGCUCACCAAGGCGACGAUACAUAGGGGGACUGAGAGGUUAACCCCCCACACUGGUACUGAGACACGGACCAGACUCCUACGGGAGGCAGCAGUGAGGAAUAUUGGUCAAUGGACGCAAGUCUGAACCAGCCAUGCCGCGUGCAGGAUGACGGCUCUAUGAGUUGUAAACUGCUUUUGUACGAGGGUAAACGCAGAUACGUGUAUCUGUCUGAAAGUAUCGUACGAAUAAGGAUCGGCUAACUCCGUGCCAGCAGCCGCGGUAAUACGGAGGAUUCAAGCGUUAUCCGGAUUUAUUGGGUUUAAAGGGUGCGUAGGCGGUUUGAUAAGUUAGAGGUGAAAUUUCGGGGCUCAACCCUGAACGUGCCUCUAAUACUGUUGAGCUAGAGAGUAGUUGCGGUAGGCGGAAUGUAUGGUGUAGCGGUGAAAUGCUUAGAGAUCAUACAGAACACCGAUUGCGAAGGCAGCUUACCAAACUAUAUCUGACGUUGAGGCACGAAAGCGUGGGGAGCAAACAGGAUUAGAUACCCUGGUAGUCCACGCAGUAAACGAUGAUAACUCGUUGUCGGCGAUACACAGUCGGUGACUAAGCGAAAGCGAUAAGUUAUCCACCUGGGGAGUACGUUCGCAAGAAUGAAACUCAAAGGAAUUGACGGGGGCCCGCACAAGCGGAGGAACAUGUG